UGUAAGUUGGUAUAAUGGUAGAACACUUAUCACGAAAGCAUAGAGGUAUGGGUUCAAGUCCCAUGCAUACAA
rnacentral:tRNA from 1 species